AAACCGUAAAGAGAGAGAAGAGAGGAGAGACCAAUUCUGUCUUAAUUCUGCCUCUUGCUGUCUUUGGUAGGUCUUUUGAUUAUUUAAAUGGAUUCUCCUCUCUAUCAAAGGAUAAAGGUUUUUGUUUUUUAAAACCUUUUAAUUAUCACUUUGGCUAAAUGAAUGACAGUUUUACAGUGACCUGUGUUUCUGUUUUAGUUAAGUGUUUUAAACUUUGAUGUGUUUGACAGGCUUUCCAAAAUUAAAUUUGAAGUUCAAAAUUAAGUCUUUCUGACCUCAAACCAACUUUGCGAUGUUACAGAGGGCCCUUGCAGCAUCCAAAACAGAGAUAAUAAACAAGAUUAUUUGAUAUAUUAAAUUUUAUGGGAAGCAUUGUCAAAUAAGAAAUGAAGUUUAACUUUCUUCGAGUUAUAUUUUUAUGGAUACAUUCUUUUGUAUUUCAAAAUUGUAUGAGAUUCCUAAAAUUCUGUUAUGUCUUGCCAUAUGUUAUUAGUCAUAAUUACAUUAUGUUAAAUUAUUAUAGGCUGGCCAGGGGCAGUGGCUCAUGCCUGUAAUCCCAGCACUUUGGGAGGCCAAGGUAGGAGGAUUGCAUGAGCCCAGGAGUUUGAGAUCAGCCUAGACAACAUAGAGAGACCCCAUCUGUACAGAUUUUUUUCUUUAAUUAGCCAGGCAUUGUGUUGCACACCUGUGUUCCUAGCUACUGGGGAGGCUGAGGCAGGAGGAUCACUUGAGUCCAGGAAGUUGAGAGGUUGAGGCUGCAGUGAGCUGUGAUUGUGCUACUGCACUUUAGCGUGGACAACAGAGGGAGACCCUGUCUCACAAAAAAACAAACAACAAAACAACCCAAUAACAAAAAAAAAUCAUAGGCAACAGAAAUAAACUUUCUUGUCAAUUAUAUCUUUAAUCAUGACCAUUUUAAGUCAUUUCUACAGUCAGUUGUCUAAUUUUGAUGCAUUUCUGAAAACUCUUUAUAAGCAAGUAAAACCCUAGAGAACUGUGCCUUCAAGGAGACUCAUGGCAAGGAUGGAAAGAACGCUUGAAUGCAUGUUGCUGAUAGCUUUAGGAUCAUGUCAUUUGGACUGUGUAAGAAUUCCUGGAACUCAUGAAGAGACUGACUGGUUUAUAAAACUGUUAAUCCAAGCAGGAGAAGAAAUAAUUUAAUACCAAAGAAAUACUCUGCCAGAGAUUUUCAUGCUAAAUCAGUCAGCACUGGAAUCAUUAAGAUGUGCAGUUUGAAUGAACUCCAUGAUCCUAGUCAAAUUGCCUAUGAUAACCCAUUUAAUAAACAGGGCUGUGCACCUGAAUCGGAGAAACAGAAUCGAUACUUAAAUUUCGUGUUAAUCAUAGAUUCAUAGAAAGCCUAGAUGGCUGCUUGGGUCUUCCUGAGCCGUUAAAGCUUCCAUUAUUAAAAGCUCUGCACUUUAUGAGUUAUCAUUGAAGAGAGAAAACAAUCCAAAUUUAAAAUUUACACAGUGUGGUGACUGUUCUAAAUUAUGAAAAUGGUUUAUGACCAUUUGGUUUGUCAUGCUCGUAAUCCUGGAAAGACAUUCAAAACUUUAGGUACAUUUCUACUACCCAAUGGGCUAUUUGAAUAUAUAGAGAGAUUUCAUUCAAUUGCCAUUUUUAGUGCAUGUUUUCUGGUUGUAUAGAAGCUUUCCAUUGCAAGAAGGCUGAUGCUAUAACAGUAGCUAAAAGGUUAGUAGGAAAUGUGUUUUCCCCCAUGGAGCAUUCCUGGAGAAAUCUCUAGGAAUAAAGGUACUUGUUUGACUGGACAAGUUAUAAAACAAAUAAGGUUUUUUAAGUUGCCACAGCAUUAGGCAAAGCUAACUGAAUUGACUAGAUUGUCAUAGUCAAACAUGUUGCAGAUCUGCCUCUAAUGGAAGACCACAAAAUAGUCACUGGAAAGCCUGUGACCCUAGUAUUAAAACCUCAUCUAUCUUCUGCUCCUAAACUCUGAUAUGACUAAAUGCUAUGAGGUUUUAAUGCAUUAUGUCAAUGUGUAUUUUCACCAGGUAAAGGAAUUUUUACCUGAUCCACUAAGUGAGGACAAUCAAACCCUUCAUGAAAUAGUAUCUGGAGACUGUCUUGUAAAAAUAAUAUCAGAGAAAGACUGCCCUUACUGCUCAUACUAUAGCAAAACUUUGAGGCUUUGAACUAUGGGUCCAUAAUCUCACAACUCAGAAGGGUACCUCUAGACUCUUGGAACUGUGUAUCUAUUGGAGACUUUAAGGUAAAGCUGACCAGAGAUGUUUUUCCCCAGAAGCAGACAGCACCACAGUCGUGGACAGCUUUCCCAGGAUCACAAAUCAAGACUUCUCUGCUGUCAUAAGAUGCAUACUUCUUAAUUUUUUCUUGCUUAUGCUUCUAUGAACAAUAGAAUUGGAAAAGGGGUCUUGUGUGCACCCCCAGGGUAUACUUUUAUUUGUAGAGGAUUUUGCCACCAACCUUAUACGUGGGCAAACUUAUGCCUUGAUGGAUGGAAGAUAAAGAGCCAAUAUGUGUUAGAAAUUUUAAUGUUACCUUUGUUUCUCCAUAAUAACUCAGAAACAGAAAACUGGUCCACUCCUGUUAACCUACAUCAUAGGUUGAAGAAAACACUAUCAGGCGGCCUUCACUCUUCCAGAUGGGCAUCAUUUGUUGGGUCUUUUUCCAUGGCGUGGACAAAAUGAGGCAAUAUUAGAAAUUGUUCCCCUGGCUAGGCAUGGUGGCUCACACCUGUAAUCCUAGCACUUUGGGAAGUCAAGGCGGGUGAAUCACCUGAGGUCAGGAGUUCAAAACCAGCCUGACCAACAUGGCAAAACCCCAUCUCUACUAAAAAUACAAAAAUUAGCCAGGCGUGGUGGCACAUACCUGUAAUGCCAGCUACUCCAGAGGCUGAGAUGGGAGAAUCACUUCAAGUGGUUCAACCUGGGAGGUGGAGGUUGCAGUGAGCCAAGAUCACGCCACUGCAUUCCAGGCUGGGUGACACAGCAAGACUCCAUCUCAAAAAAAAAAAGAAAAAGAAAAAGAAAAAGAAAUUGAUCCCUCAUAAUAGGCUCUAUAGCAGUUUCUACUACAAAGACUAUAGUUGCAAAUAGACUUCUUUGAAUUUGCUUGCUAAACUUGUACUGGAUAAAAGAAUUGCUCUAGAUUGCCUACUGACAAAACAAGGAAGAAUCUGUGUAGCUACUGACAUGACUUCUUGCACGUAAAAGAACACAUCAGGUAUUAUAGAGACUCAAUUGUAAAAGAUUAGUGAACAGACUGCUUGUUUGAAAUGAGUAGACCCUUUAUCUGGCUCAGACUUUGAUCUAUUUGAUUUUAGUCGGUUUGGUUCAUGAGGACGCUGGCUAAGGAGCAUAUUCUAAACUCUUGGUGUUAUCCUCUUGAUAGGCAUAAUAGUAAUCUCCCUGGUAUACUGUAUUCUCUGAAAAGUUUUAAAUGUUUGCAUGCAGCCAUCCAAAAAAAUGUCAAAUGGUCUCUCUUCUACUGGAAUAACAAAAACUCUAAGAAAUGCAUGAUCAUGAGGAAACGUUGGGCUGAGAUAAGUAACUGAGAGUAGUGCUGAAUCCCUACAUCACACUCUCAUCUCAGUGAUAACCUGACUCAAAGGGAGAUCUAUUCAACAAAAUUUUGUGAGGCCAUUGUUUUGGACUAAACUCAUGCGUCAGACCCCAAUAGGCCAGAACAAACCAAAAUGGAGUCUCUCAUGCUAAAUGCAACAUAAUCAAAUGGAAAUUUAAGGGAGGCAGACAGAUUCCAAAACUGACCAGUUUUUUUUUUCUUCUGAAGACAAAAGAUUCCAAUACAACAACGAAGUCCCCUCUGCUCUAACCCUUAAAAAAAGUAAUCUAAAAUCCUUGUUCCCAUCUUAUUAAACCUAAAGUUCUGCUACUUCCCAGUGGGAUUCGAGAUUGGUGACAGAGUAACAUCAGUGCCUAAAGUUUUGGUCAAUUUUUUAAAAAUUGAGAGGCUUACUAAAAGGGGGGAAUUGUUAAAUUAAGUUUAGCCUAAAACUGCCUUUUUGCGUAGUUUAAGUUCACCCUCAAGAUUUCUCCAUACAUACUGAACUGUAACCAAACCAUAUUCUGGAUCAUUUUUCUUUGUAGUGAAAUGAUACAUCAUGAAAGAUAGAUUAUGGUCUUUAUUUUAUUUUGUUUUAUUUUAUUUAUUUAUUUUUUUGAGAUGGAAUUUCAUUCUUGUUACCCAGGCUGGAGUGCAAUGGCGUGAUCUCGGCUCACCGUAACCUCCGUCUCCUGGGUUCAAGCAAUUCUCCCGCCUCAGCCUCCUGAGUAGCUGGGAUUACAGGCACGUGCCACCAUGCCCAGCUAAUUUUUGUAUUUUUAGUAGAGACAGGGUUUCACCAUGUUGACCAGGAUGGUCUCGAUCUCUUGACCUCAUGAUCCACCGCCUCGACCUCCCAAAGUGCUGAGAUUACAGGCUUGAACCACCGCACCCAGCCUAUGGUCUUAAUUUUUUAAUUAGAGAAGAGCUAUGUUAUAUUAAACAUAGGAAACUGGCUGGGUGCGGUGGCUCAUGCCUAUAAUCCCAGCACUUUGGGAUGCCAAGGCAGGCAGAUCACGAGGUCAGGAGAUCAAGACCAUCCUGGCUAACGUGGUAAAACCCCAUCUCUAAAAAAGAAUAAAAAUAAACAUAGGGAAUCAUAGAAACUGUUAAGGUCUAUGAUAGGAAGAAUUUUAAGUAGUAUUGAUUAGGGGAGCUCUUACAAUAAUAAUUUAUAUAUAUAUUUGCUUUCAUAAAAUUUUCUUCCUAUUUUUGAGAAUAAUAGGAAUAAUGUACAUUUUCUCCUGUUUAAUUGAGCUUUUUGUUUGUUUGUUUUGAGAUGGAGUUUCCCCUCUCGUUGCCCAGGGUAGAGUCCAAUGGUGCGAUCUCAGCUCACUGCAACCUCCGCCUCCUGCGUUAUUCUCCUGCCUCAGCCUUUAGAGUAGCUGGGAUUAUAGGUGCCCACCAUCAGUCCUGGCCAAUUUUUUGUAUUUUUAGUGGAGACAGGAUUUCAGCAUGUUGGCCAGGCUGGUCUCGAACUCCUGACCUCAGGGCCUUCACCAGCUCCAGACCUUCUGCUGAAGAUACCAUAUUAGAGUAAUGGGAGAUACAGUGACAACAGAAUGUGUGGCUGUGGGGCAAGAGUGACAAGAUAUUGGCUGCUGUGGGCUCUGAAGAAACAGAGGAAAAUCAUAUUUUUUUCUUCGCCCCCCCCUCUGGAAAAGGAAAGGAAAUUUUCUUUACUCCAAGGCUGGGGUAGAAUUAAAUGACUCCAAGAACUACUGAUAGAGGAAUGAGAAAUACUACCACUUUGGCUGGGAUCAGAGCAUGAUACUGUAAUCAGAUAAAAGGCCAUCCUAGGAAACAGUCCCGUGAGUAAUAUUUCAUGAAUUAUCUUCCUGAACCAGAGCAAGUCACUUUGCCUUCCUGUAUGUUCUCUAAGACAAAAGGAUGAUCUGAAAAUAUGCCUCCCCGGUGAACCCCAGCCCUGGCUGGCAGAUCUGGCUGGCUACUGGGAGUCCCCUUUUCCUCUCCAUGGCUCCUGUGCAUCCCCCUAAAGACUGUAUAUUCCAAGAGGACUACAUUCCCAGGUGGGGCCAUAUGGUUCUUAUAACAAAGGCUUACAGACUUUCCUCUAAUGUUGCACGUAGUUUUCGCGUUCUGAAUCUACGAAUCACAAAUUAGAUUGGUGCCUUUGGAAGAGGAGAUGAGAGAUGAAGCUUGCUACUGCUUCUGAUAAUGCCCUAAAGAGCAGCUCAAAAUACAGCAAAAAGAACGCAGAAAACAAACUAGAUAAGUCUUGAAGAGAGAUCAACAUUAGGAACAUCAUAUUCACUGAAUAUAAUUCUGGGGUCUGUUUUAUACUUUAUGGAUUCACUGUUAGUAUUUAUGUAUCAAUGUCUGAGUGGUGGUUCCCAUAAAAGUCAUUAUCCAGUGAGCUCUGUCAGUCACUAAAGCUUUAUAACAAAUAAAUUAACAAAAUGUUGAUAGCCUAAGAAGAAAUAGCUGUAUGUCACUUGUUGCCCCUUGGCUCUCAAAACUGGAAGGUCCACAUACUAAUAGGGGUUAUGACAGUAUAUCAAACUGAAAAAAAAAAAGCCUAACAACACUCCAGUGAUUCUAGACACAAGUAGAUAAUUCAGCCCCUUGUAGUUUCAGAGAGUAAAUGAAGAAAAGGAAAUUUUUUUCUUCCCCUUAGGGCAGAGAUGUUUUUUAGUUCUGUUGUUUUAAUUUUAGCACUUGAUAUUCCCUUGGGAAGGGCUGGUUACAACAAAAACACUAUUUAUUAGAUUCCAAGUAUCUGAAAUUAAAGAUAGAUUAGCAUGCCAGUCUCCCCUUUCCUCUUUUGUAAUGUAAGAGCAAUAGUCAUUUUACUAUGAAGGCCUUGUGGGGAAGGGGUCCAAUCCUGUCUGGUCAUGUUAUGCAGGAGCAAAUAAGGAGAUAAAAAAGGAUUUUUACAAUGAGAACAC